UACGGAGGGGGCCAGCGUUGCUCGGAAUUACUGGGCGUAAAGGGCGCGUAGGCGGUAUGACAAGUCACUUGUGAAAUCUCCGGGCUUAACUCGGAACGGCCAAGUGAAACUGUCAAACUAGAGUGCAGAAGGGGCAAUCGGAAUUCUUGGUGUAGCGGUGAAAUGCGUAGAUAUCAAGAGGAACACCUGAGGUGAAGACGGGUUGCUGGGCUGACACUGACGCUGAGGCGCGAAAGCCAGGGGAGCAAACGGG
rnacentral:rRNA from 1 species